UGCGUAGGCGGAUUAAUAAGUCAGUGGUGAAAUCUUUCGGCUCAACCGAGAAACUGCCAUUGAUACUGUUAAUCUUGAGUUCGGUUGAGGUAGGCGGAAUGUAUAAUGUAGCGGUGAAAUGCUUAGAUAUUACACAGAACACCAAUUGCGUAGGCAGCUUACUAGACCGACACUGACGCUGAGGCACGAAAGCGUGGGGAGCGAACAGGAUUAGAUACCCUGGUAGUC
rnacentral:rRNA from 1 species